rnacentral:rRNA from 1 species
UACGUAGGGGGCAAGCGUUAUCCGGAUUCACUGGGUGUAAAGGGAGCGUAGACGGCCAUGCAAGCCAGGGGUGAAAGCCCGGGGCCCAACCCCGGGACUGCCCUUGGAACUGUGCGGCUAGAGUGCGGGAGGGGCAGGCGGAAUUCCUGGUGUAGCGGUGAAAUGCGUAGAUAUCAGGAGGAACACCGGUGGCGAAGGCGGCCUGCUGGACUGCGACUGACGUUGAGGCCCGAAAGCGUGGGGAGCAAACAGG